CUGGAGCCUUCUCCCCCUCCGUCAGCCCCUCCGUCAGCUCUCGUCACCGUGCGCCCACCGACGCACUGUGGCCGACCGAGGCUUUAAUGGCGUUCGGCCGCUUCUCCUCUGCGCCCUCGGCCCCUCUCACCCUGUGUGCCUCUGUAGCUCGUCCGUUGACUUCCUCGUCGUGUUCCCGUGCUCGCCCGUGCUCGCUGAGCCCCGCCAGAGCUUUGGCCGAGCUCGAACGGCGGCACUCGGCCACAGCCUCCUCGCCCGGCUAUAUAUAGCCCUCCCCCGAGCCAUUCGAGCACACCAGCAGCCUCGCCUCACUACCAGCUCCCUCCCCAGCCUCUCGUUUGAGCUCGAGGAGCUCCCUGUGCCCACCAUGGACGCCAUGGCCGCCUCGGGUCUCCUCUCGAAUCCGAGCCAUCCGAGCCUUCCCCCUCCCUCCUGACCUCACCAUAGCUCCACCCGGACCCCGGAGAUCCUCCCCGUGUCCUCUCCCCACCGCCGGAGCCACCUUGGCCGCGUGCCCCAUGCUCAAUCACCGCCGGCGCCUCUAUGUUCCCCUCGCAACGCCGUCCCUCCCGCUCAUCUCUGGCGUCUCCUUCCCAUAAGGAUGGAUGCGGCACUCCUUUCCGGUCUCGCCGGUGGCCUCGGCUUGGCCGGAGGCGGCCUGAGCCGGCCGGGCCACCGCCGGCAUCGCGACCCCGCCCCUGCCUCCUCUGUUUCCCAUCGGGGUGUAGCGAGGAGGAAGAAGACAGGAGCCAGGCGGACCCCAUCUCCACGCGGCCCCACCUGUCGGUGGGUAGGCGUUGACCCCGCCUGCCUAGCUGGAUAAGUGACGGGCCCCACCCAGUGGGAUCCGCCCGUCAGCAACCGCGUGGCUGGUCCCGCCUCUGCUGACUGGCUCAGGGGCCUGUUUGUAGAGGGUCUUUUUACAUAUUGGUCCCUGGAUUUCAAACGCUUAUAUCUUUUUGCUCGAGACUCCGAUUGAGCCCCUGCGAGAGAGAACUGUUUCCGGCAAAUCUUUUCGCGGCUUCACCACACUUCUUCCCGGAGUAUUCUUCAUCCC